rnacentral:rRNA from 1 species
AUGCGACCCUACAAAUGUCCGACCAUUUUCACGACCAACUACACCAACUUCCCAAAGGGCGCGGAGUUUGCCGAUAUCUUUGACAUCGUGGGUGGCAGCCUCUUUACCAUCGACGGUGAGCCGUCUCAUCAACAGCGCGCAAAAGUCAAGGGCGCGCUCAGCAACCCGCGGAUGGCUGCCACUAUGGCGGCCUGCUGCUGUGACAAGGUGGAGAACGGCCUCCUCCCGUUUUUUAGGCGAAUGGCGAGCACUGGCACUCCAUUUGACGUGCAAGAACUGAUGUCAAGGUUUAUGUUUGACCUGGCUGCUAUGCCUUUCUUUGGCGUGGAUCCUGGCCUCCUGUCCUCGGAAAUGCUACAAGACAGGCUGCACAUGGACGCUGCGGUUGCCCUUGACACGUUCAUGGAGGUGGGAUUUUCCCUGCUCAUGACACCAAGUUCUUAUUGGAAGUUGAUGAGGUGGCUAAACAUUGGCCCUGAGAGAAAGCUCAAAGUGGCGCGCACGGUGCUACGGGAGUUCGCCGCGGAGAUGAUGGAGAGGAGGAAGAUGAAUACGUGUUUUGUUGGUAAUGAAGAUGAACAAGAGGAUGGGGAUAUCUUGUCUUGCUUCCUCAAUGACCCAGACUACGCCGAUGAUGACUUGCUCCGUGCGAUGAUCAUUGGCUACAUGUUCGCUGCUAGGGAUACAGUUGGAACAACCCUGACAUGGAUCUUCUACAAACUCGCCCAGAACCCUAACAUUGUUUCGAAUAUCCGAAAAGAACUCUCACCCAUUGCAUCACGCAAAGCAGCGGUUGGUGUGGAUGCCAUGUUGAUCUUUGAGCCAAAAGAGACCAGAUCUCUAGUAUAUUUGAAAGCCGUCCUGUACGAGACUCUCAGGCUAUACCCAGCAGCGCCUCUUGAGUGCAAGACAGUAGUCGCCGAUUAUAUCAUGCCAAGUGGACAUGAGGUUCAUGCCGGCGACACCAUUAUUAUUUCUAUACACUCCAUGGGGAGAAUGGAGGGUGCGUGGGGUGAAGAUUGCCUCCAUUAUAAACCAGAUAGGUGGCUCUCGGUGGGUGGCAAUAACAUGAGGUAUGUACCAUCUCACAAAUUCUUGGCCUUCAACUCAGGCCCGAGGAUGUGCCUCGGCAAGGACAUCGCAAUUAUGCAGAUGAAGACAGUCAUCGCAUCAACGCUAUGGAACUUCGAUGUGGAGGUGAUGGACGGGCAAACAAUCCAGCCCAAGCAAGCUUGUAUACAACAGAUGAAAAAUGGGCUCAUAGUUAAGCUAAAGAAGCGGGAAAUGUAA